rnacentral:rRNA from 1 species
UACGGAGGGGGCUAGCGUUGUUCGGAUUUACUGGGCGUAAAGGGCGCGUAGGCGGCGAAUCAAGUCAGUUGUGAAAUCUCCGAGCUUAACUCGGAACGGUCAACUGAUACUGUUUUGCUAGAGUGCAGAAAGGGCAACCGGAAUUCUUGGUGUAGCGGUGAAAUGCGUAGAUAUCAAGAGGAACACCUGAGGCGAAGGCGGGUUGCUAGGCUGACACUGACGCUGAGGCGCGAAAGCUAGGGGAGCGAACGGG